UUAAAAAUAUUUUUAUGAAUAAAAAUUUUUUUUUAUAUACUAAUAAUUAUAAAUUAUAUUUUUAUUAUAUAAA
rnacentral:tRNA from 1 species